GAGUGAUUGACUUUUAGUUUCUUCCUGCGCCCGGGAAAUUCAAACAUAAACCGUUUAGUCUCCGGGAUGGAGAGAGAUGGGAGUGGGGCAUGGCACCAGAAAAUUAUUGCCCUUAGAGCUACGCCCCCUCAUGGACCCGGAAAGAGAACACAUUCCUUCAAGACCACAGGGGAAAAUACAUAGGAUGGAUGAGAACAAUGUCUGGCACAGUGUACCUUAUGGCCAAAAUAAUGGAAAGAAGAAAUGGAGAAAAAGUCGGGUAAAGAGGAAAAAAAGCAGAGUACAAAGAAUCUUCUUAGCUGUUCUUGGAAGGCACUCAAAUAUACCAGUCUAG
rnacentral:lncRNA from 1 species